UACGUAGGGCGCAAGCGUUGUCCGGAAUUAUUGGGCGUAAAGAGCUCGUAGGCGGUCUGUUGCGUCCGCUGUGAAAACCCAGGGCUUAACCCUGGGCUUGCAGUGGAUACGGGCAGACUAGAGGCAGGUAGGGGAGAAUGGAAUUCCCGGUGUAGCGGUGAAAUGCGCAGAUAUCAGGAGGAACACCGGUGGCGAAGGCGGGUCUCUGGACAGUUCCUGACACUGAGACACGAAGGCCAGGGGAGCAAACAGG
rnacentral:rRNA from 1 species